GGCGAGCGUGGGGUACGGAUCCCCGCCGUUCCAGCCGCCGAGCGCGAUGACGUUGGUGUUCGUGGCAAGUUCCAGGCUUGCUGCCUGGCU
rnacentral:tRNA from 1 species